UAUAACACGUUGAAACACUGGUUCUCGUACGAUCACCGAAGUUGAGCAACGUCGAGCCUGGUCAGUACCUAGAUGGGUGACCACUUGGGAAUACCAAGCGCUGUAA